rnacentral:lncRNA from 1 species
AUUUCUUUUUGUUUUUCAUUGAUUUCUAAAUUUUUUGUAUUUGUUAAUAUUUCUGUAUAUGUUUCACUAUCUUCUGAAUCAUAAUUAUCUGUCUCUUCAACUUCUAUAUUAUUUAAUUCUUACCAUUGCUGUUAAUUUAUCUUCUAAUUUUAAUUCUUCUUUUUCUAACAUUAGAUAUAAAUGUUCACCUAUUUUCUUAUAUCUUCGUCCUAGAUUAGAAAAUACUAUUUUUAUUUUUGAUCCUUCGUGGUUUUCAUAUAUUUUUUCAUCUAUUAUAAAUUCUUCUUUGUUCAUUUUAUUGUGAAU